rnacentral:rRNA from 1 species
UAAGCGGAGGAAAAGAACUAACAAGGAUUCCCCUAGUAACUGCGAGUGAAGCGGGAAAAGCUCAAAUUUAAAAUCUGGUGGUCUUUGGCCAUCCGAGUUGUAAUCUAGAGAAGCGCCUUCCGCGCUGGACCGUGCACAAGUCUCCUGGAACGGAGCGUCGUAGAGGGUGAGAAUCCCGUCUUUGGCAUGGACACACCAGGGCUUUUGUGAUGCGCUCUCGAAGAGUCGAGUUGUUUGGGAAUGCAGCUCAAAAUGGGUGGUGAACUCCAUCUAAAGCUAAAUAUUGGCGAGAGACCGAUAGCGAACAAGUACCGUGAGGGAAAGAUGAAAAGCACUUUGGAAAGAGAGUGAAACAGUACGUGAAAUUGUUGAAAGGGAAACGCUUGAAGUCAGUCGCGUCGACCGAGACUCAGCCUCGCCUCGGCUUGGUGUACUUCUCGGNCCGACGGGUCAGCAUCAAUUUCGCCUCUUGGAUAAUGGCGAGGGAAACGUGACACCUUUACGGUGUGUUAUAGUCUCUCGUCGCAUGCAAGGGUCGGGAUUGAGGAACUCAGCNCGCCCCUUUGGGCGUCGGGGCUUUGCCUACGAUACGUGCUUAGGAUGUUGGCGUAAUGGCUUUAAACGACC